rnacentral:rRNA from 1 species
GAGUUUGAUCUUGGCUCAGAUUGAACGCUGGCGGCAUGCCUUACACAUGCAAGUCGAACGGCAGCACGGGAGCUUGCUCCUGGUGGCGAGUGGCGAACGGGUGAGUAAUGCAUCGGAACGUAUCCUGGAGUGGGGGAUAACGUAGCGAAAGUUACGCUAAUACCGCAUAUUCUGUGAGCAGGAAAGCGGGGGACCUUCGGGCCUCGCGCUCUUGGAGCGGCCGAUGUCGGAUUAGCUAGUUGGUGAGGUAAAGGCUCACCAAGGCGACGAUCCGUAGCAGGUCUGAGAGGAUGAUCUGCCACACUGGAACUGAGACACGGUCCAGACUCCUACGGGAGGCAGCAGUGGGGAAUUUUGGACAAUGGGAGCAACCCUGAUCCAGCCAUGCCGCGUGAGUGAAGAAGGCCUCGGUUGUAAG